UAGAGAAAUAGUGCUUGGUCGGCCAUUAGAGCUUGCCUUUUACUGUAGAGACACGUGAAGGAAUAAGUUUUACUUUUUACUAUUAUUGAUUGAAGAAUAUCAUCAUUACUAUCUUUACUUGAAACAAGGGAAGAUGAUGAUGUUGACGAAGAUGAGGACUCUAUGUCUGCCCAUUUGGCUUUGCCUUUAAGACUUGGUUUGGAUGACGAUUUAUCUGAAGAAACUGCUGGCGGUUUACUUGAUGAGGGUUUUAUUGGAGAAUCUGAACUUGUGGAAAGCUGCUGGAACAUUUCCUGGCAAAUUCUUUUAUACUCAUCAGGUGUUUUAGCCGCUGCUAACCUGGCUUGACACUGUGCUUUUUGGAAUGCCAAAUGUAGGUUGAUCCUUUAAAGCAAGAGUUGUAGCAUAGGUUAAUGCAGGUGUACCAGAAAGUUUAGUUCUAAUCCAUUGGUCGAUUUUAAGUUCA